AACAGAGUAGGUGAUCUUGCGUUAAGUGUUUGAGAAUGGGACGUCGUCUCAAAACGAAGGGAUACCGCGGUAGAUCAUUCGCGUCCGCUAUU
rfam:Clostridiales bacterium S7-1-4 contig01, whole genome shotgun sequence.